rnacentral:lncRNA from 1 species
UUAUUUUUAAAAUUAAGAUAAUUUAACACGGACUAUGAUAUUGUAUUAUCUAAUAAUUUUUUUUUGAGAGAUAGAUGACACGCUAUUCGUUUUGUUUAUUUUAUUUAGAAAUAAACAUAGCUGGAAAUGUGAAUCAAUUAGAAUUCGAACUUGGAAUCUCGGAUAUUAAUAAUCAAGCUCUUUGCCACUUAUUCUAUGGAUGAUCGGUUAUUAUCUAAUAAUUUAAAAAUCGUUUUUACCACCCUCCUGAAUGAGGAAUUCUACACUGUCACACUUGCACCACGUCAUUAAUAACAAGCCAAUCACAUUCCUUCUUUUCAAGCAAAAGUAUAAUAAAAAUACUUUUUUACAAUCAUGAUGGGACAUAUAUUUUUAAAAGAAUUAAUUUGAUUGGUUUGUUACGCCACGUCACUAAUAUACCCGUUGCAUUCUAGAAUUUUUCCUCCUGAAUGUAGAGAACUGAUUGCCGCACGUUGCGUCUUUUCAGUGAUGAGAUGAAGUACAGAGCAGAUAAUAAAGAUGCUGGGCUAGUUGAUGUGAUGUACAAAGACUAAGAAGUUUUUUUUUUUUUUUUGGAAAAACUUCAAACAACACCCUGUAAUUGCAUAUUUUUUUACAUUUGUACCCUGCGAAAUCAGUAACAAAGUUAAAACUAAAGGGUACUAAAGUGAAUAUUCGAUAAACCUAGGUGGGGUAUCUGAAGAUUUUUUUGUAUAUAAUUUAACAAAAUAUUAACGAAAAAGCUGACGAAAAGAUAAAAAUAAAACCAUAUGACACUAAGUUGAUACACUUUAAAUUAUAAGGUACUAAAGUAAAAAAGUACGAAACCACGGAGGUAAUAUUUGAAGUUUACCUUUUUUUUCACAUGACAUAUGAAUUCUUAUCUUAAGGCAAUAAAUUAUUGAACGUGAAAAGAUUAAAUUUUAUCUUAACUAUAAAUAAUUUUGAUCUGACUAUCUAAUUUUUCAUAAUUUUAAUUUUACUAUCCAAUAUUUUAAUUUGCUUUAUUUGAAUCAGUCAACGACAUCUUAAUUUUAAAAUUUAAAUUAAUUAUUUGCUUUUGUGCAUUUAUAGUUACGAAUAUUGUAUGAAGUGCACUGGCUAAAUCUGUAAAGAUAAAUAAUGUAUUCAAAUUUUGAAGUCGAAGUAUCGUUAACUGACUUAAAUAAACUAAAUUGAAAGGUUAGAUUGGUAAAAUCAAAUUUUGGAAAGGUUGGUAGUCAACUGAUUAUGAUUCGUAACUCAGGCGAAUUCGAUAUAUUUUUUACGAUUAAAUUAUAAUAUGUUUCUUUGUGGUUUUUUUAUUAUUUUUUUUCUUUUAGUUUUAA